ensembl:misc_RNA
UGACAAGCGCAGGAAUGAAGUUGUCUAUUCCUAGAACAGGUUCAGUGGGCAGCAGCACUGAUUGUUUCCCAUGUUGCCCUGCCAGCAUUUCUCAAACCUGACCUCGGGGGGCUGCUCCUGAGAGUGAGGAGUUCAACCACCAGUCCAGAGUCCUCUUCUCUCUACU